UACUGUAUAGUGUUUAAGGUAAUUAGUUUAAUAAUGUGGUGGCUUACUAGGUUGUAAUUAGUUUAAUGUUACAAAAAUCUAGAUUUCUUCUUUGUACAGGAACAAAUUACCAGGUUGUCUAUUAUAUCUACUUUUAAAAUCGUGGUUACAGACAGAAGUUUGAUAUCUAUACGAUUUUCAUUUCGAACCACACUGUAUGUUUAUAUCGUUAAUAGUUUCAAACUGCUAAAAUAUUCCUGCCUGUUUAAACUGGGACAAGACUAUGAGGUUUUCAUGGCAAUCACGUUGACUAAUCACUUACAUAUGGAGCUAGUAAAGAGCCUUUGGAGGACUGUGUUCUUUGUAUAACGAAAACUAUUUGUACACCUACUUGGUUCUUGAUCCGGGCGAGCUUGAGCAACUGCGUUUCGUAGUUUGUCGAGCACCCGUACACGGCGCGCCACGUUUCUCACCGUUUGUGGCUGCGGCCUGAUUUUAAUUCGAGGUUCGUUCCCCCCGUGCUUCUUUAAGUAUGUCUGUUGUCCGUUGUUGUAACUCCGCACGGAUACUAAAGAAGAGACGGCUCUGGCCGAACGACUCACGGACGAUGGCACCGGCUGCAGGCGCGGGAGGAGUGCGACUCGGCGCGCGCGCCGGCGAGCGGAGCGGGACGAGCUACGCCCGGCGCUGCCACUGCCUUCCUGCCGCGUUGCGUAGUGGAGGCCGUCGCCUCCCGCCCGUUCCCGCCGCUAGGCGCGCCUCUCCUCCUCCGCGCCGGCAGGCCCCGGCCCCUACCUGCGCCGGCUCCGCACUCCGCGGCCGCCCUGCCGCCCCUGCCGCCGCCCGCCGGCCUAGGCGCGCCGCCGCCGCCGCCGCGCCUCCAACCCCUCCUACUUUGAAGGGAGAGCGCGCAGCAACGAUCCUAACGUUCAACUGGGGACAAAAGGAGGGUUUGGGGGUGAAGAUGUCUUCGACUGUACAUCCGGCGAGUGCUGAUGCCCAGGUAGCUUAGUCACUGCCUUGGCCGGGUGCGGGUGUCCGAGGCAAUUUUUGACUGGUUUGGGAGAGGGGUGAAGCUUGUUAGAGGAGGCUCGAGCGUUUAGGCGGCGGCGGCGGUACCCGCUGAUGCCCUUGCGCUACUACGCCUUGGUCCUGCGCCCGCACGUCAGGGCGCACUUCCGCGUCUCGGCGCGGUUGGAGGAGGUCGAGUUCGAGUAGCCCGUCUCGGUAGGCUGCCCCGACUGCUGCUUGGACGACUUCGACAAGCUCGGUGCCGGUGGCGAGCUCGUGUUCGGCGGCGAGCUCUUCGCGUUCAACGGCCGAAUGAGACCUUACAGCGUCAAACAUAGCUCCAAGCGUCUCGGACCACUGGGGCUCAUACGAGGCGGACAGGGGUGUACGCUCUGAUCCCGACUUUUCUUCCUAUCUUAGGCAGUUGAAUUCGAACUCCUUCCACGUCGAUUCCAACGACUUCUCGAGGUCUUCAUACUGGGUGUUUUACUGGGGUUACAGUGACCUCUAGGUAUGUUUUGUGAGAAACAACGUGCUGAACCGAUGCUCUGUAGGCUCGUCUUCCAAUUUUCCCUGAAACUUCGAAUACCCGGAUAAUUUUCCCAUUCACAUGUACCAUUUAUGGUCAUGUCCACUACAAUAAGGAGUAACCAUUCCAAAAGUCAAUAAGACCAACGAUUUGAUAGCACGCACUUUAGACCCCUUUUAAACGAAACGACGGAAUAUAUCGGAGGACCGUCGACGACAGUGUUUCACGAUGAACCCUUACUCCAGUAAGACGUACAAGAGAACAACGAAGGUGGUUCAACCCUUGGAAAGUAUGGUUCUAUCUUUCUUGGAGGCUGUGUGUUUCGUACACAAGAAACUUUGAAAAAGGUUUCUUGCAACUUUUGGAUAGAAAGGUACAAGAUAAAGGAAGGAGAAAGAACAAGAAUCGUUCAAAUCAUUACGCUCGGCUGUAAUAUAAAAGAGAAACGACGCAUAAGCACAUGCAAAAAAACCCAUUAUAUAAGCUAUCCGUAGAAAGUUAAACCCCCAGUACUGUGGUAAAGAGGGACAUUCGGUAUCUACAGGUAUACCUUUAGCUACGUAAAGAACCAUCUAUUAAUUUGUCUCAAGUCUGCUCCGUCGUUAGUCAAACCAUAUGACAUACUUAGGAACCGUUCGGUAAAUUAGACACGUGACAACCAUCUUGUAAACUUCUGACAUUUAAAGAGACCAUUUUCUUUACACGUACGUUUCCAUUAAAACUACGAACUAAAGAACUCUUUUUAGCACUCCUUGUCUCGUUUGUUAAACGAAAACGGUACCGUGGUGUUCCAUCACAACGAAAGUACUAACCAAGAAAGGACGGGGUGUUUUAGAGGGUAUAACUAAUUGACCUCGACUGUUUCGUACUUCUUAAGAAUAUUACCGUCUUCACAUCUAGUGAAAACAGAAUUUCUCGUCGAAUAGACGUCCGCUAAAGAUGCGGGACUCUGGAUUAACCCAUCCAGGUGACCACUCAUCAUAAACAUCAAUGAAAGGUACUCGACAAUACCAUGAUCGCGACGACGGUUCAAGACGAAGAGUACCUCCUUUGUUGUGUUUGCAUAUUACGCAUACCAUAGAGAGUUGAGGAUCUCAACUUCUCAGAUGAGGUAAAGGUACACACAUUCCUUAUGAAUGGAUGGGACGUGAUAAUAGUGGAACUAAGUACAUUAACGAAACCGAUAAAACAAAAGAAGCGGUGUUUCCAACUUGUUUAAUAUUCGUUGUUGCCACUCCCAUUGAACCAUAUCAUAAAUCAGAGACGUCAUGUAAAAAAGGGAAAUAAUUCGUUCAAGGGACCAUUCCCCCACACCCUACAUAAAAGGUUGUACACGCUUAGCCGCUCUGAAGUACAAGUACACACGACCUAAAGUUAGGAAUACGCCUUCGAGAUGUAUACGUUCCAUGCCGAGCAUUGGCUGUUCCAUUGUUUAUUUGGAUCUCCUAUACGUAAGCAUCUCAUACGUGUGUGAGCCCUGUACUUUUCACGAAUAUUCGUUCGACUACCCUCUUUUCACCUAUUGUUUUCCCACGAACAACUGCAUCUCGCACCAUCUUGACAAGGUUUAACCGCAGGAUCCUCUAACCCACCACCUGAACCUAGUUCGUCCUAACCACCACUUCUACGACGGGUCUUCGUAAGACGAUCUCUCGUUGUCUUGCGACGACCCGCUGGGUCUAGUCUUCUCGGAUCCUCCCUACUAGCAGGACGUCUAGCCCUAGCACUCUUUAGAGCACUAUCCCAUGCCCUUUCUCUAGCACUGCUCUUUUGAGCACUUGCGAGUGUACUGUCCUGGGCACUAGCACUAGGUUCCCUUCUAUCCGUGGUGGUAUCUCUAGCACUCUCUUGAGCACUAUCCCUGGCUCUUGCCCUGGUCCUCUCUCUGGCACCCGCACUGGCCGCACUAUCCCUAUCCGUGUUCCUAGUACCGGCCCUAUCUCUGGUCCUAUCUCUGUCCUUUGCACUCGCGAGAGUACCGUCCCCGUCUCUGGCACUGUCUCUAAUGCUCGCACGUUCAGUGCUUGUCCUGGGAGCGUCCCUGGCUCUAAUGUUCGCACGCGCGGUACUUGUACUAGCACCAGUGAACGUCCUCUCACUACGACUAAUACCAUUACCACUCGAACCGAUAUUGGUCGUACUCGUGGUGUCUUCAGUGCUUGUCAUACCAAUACCGGAUCUACCUGUACUCGCGAGUUUCGCUGUACUCGUAAUGGCCCUACUAGGUGUGUCAUUUUACCGUUGGUUGGUAGUCCCCGUUGGACUUUUACGUCUUGGACGUCAGGGGCUCCUUCCCCUCCGUAUACUUCUUCCCCUGAUGGUCGUAUAGGUUCGCUCACUUAUGUCCUUGAUUUUGAACUAUCGACACCAUUCCGAAACAAUUGCGUCAUUAUAAGCGUAGUAAAGUCGACAAGGGUCACCAAGAGAGCGGAAAAAGAACAACCGUGAAGGUCAGAAUAGGGUGAAUAAAAACCACACAAACAAACAACAUACGAUAAACAUUAUUAAACGACCUAUUACGAACACCAAACACAAGUGAACAAUCACUACAAGAUACAUUAAAACUUCGGUUAGCGGUUAGUUACAAUUGAACAAUGAGCAGAUUACGCCGAAUUCAAAUACGUAAAAACAACCAAAGCUGUCAAUGACAUCUACGUUCGUAUUGUACCCGCACCAACGACCAAUAUUUCACCUGACACCUAGUUCAAUGAGUAAAGAAAAUGAAACAAAGAACAAAGGAACAUUUACUAAAACAACUAGUAGACUCCUUAAAUCAAAAACGACAACUUUUUUUCGAAUCCCCGAAAAUGAUAUGAUUUACAAGAAAAAAACAACAACAACGCAGAAACGUCAAACGAAGACAUUUGUAACAUUUAUUAGAGUCCGGAGACUCUUCAGUCUCCGGAACUUUACCGUUUGCCUCGAAUCUCGUAGACAUUGAGGAAAACUUAGCCUAUAACAUAUCCGAUUCGUCACAUCG
rnacentral:rRNA from 1 species